rnacentral:rRNA from 1 species
CAAGACCUCUCGCUUAUUGGAGCGGCCGAUAUCAGAUUAGCUUAGUUGGUGGGGUAAAGGCCUACCAAGGCAACGAUCUGUAGUUGGUCUGAGAGGACGACCAGCCACACUGGGACUGAGACACGGCCCAGACUCCUACGGGAGGCAGCAGUGGGGAAUUUUGGACAAUGGGCGCAAGCCUGAUCCAGCAAUGCCGCGUGCAGGAAGAAGGCCUUCGGGUUGUAAACUGCUUUUGUCAGGGAAGAAAUCUUCUGGGCUAAUACCCCGGGAGGAUGACGGUACCUGAAGAAUAAGCACCGGCUAACUACGUG